CCUACGGGGUGCAGCAGUGGGGAAUAUUGGGCAAUGGGCGCAAGCCUGACCCAGCAAUGCCGCGUGAAGGAAGAAGGCUUUCGGGUUGUAAACUUCUUUGACAGGGGGAGAGCAGAAGACGGUACCCUGAAAACAAGCCACGGCUAACUACGUGCCAGCAGCCGCGGUAAUACGUAGGUGGCAAGCGUUGUCCGGAUUUACUGGGUGUAAAGGGCGUUUAGCCGGGAAGGGAAGUCAGAUGUGAAAUCUGGAGGCUCAACCUCCAAAUUGCAUUUGAAACUGUUUUUCUUGAGUACUGGAGAGGCAGACGGAAUUCGUUGUGUAGCGGUGAAAUGCGUAGAUAUAAGGAGGAACACCAGUGGCGAAGGCGGUCUGCUGGACAGCAACUGACGGUGAGGCGCGAAAGCGUGGGGAGCAAACAGGAUUAGAUACCCGGGUAGUC
rnacentral:rRNA from 1 species